rnacentral:rRNA from 1 species
UAACACUGGGUAACCUGCCCAUCAGAGGGGGAUAACAUUCGGAAACGGAUGCUAAAACCGCAUAGGCCUUUAACCGCAUGGUUGAAGGAGGAAAAGAGGCGCAAGCUUCUGCUGAUGGAUGGACCCGCGGUGCAUUAGCUAGUUGGUGAGGUAACGGCUCACCAAGGCCGUGAUGCAUAGCCGACCUGAGAGGGUGAUCGGCCACAUUGGGACUGAGACACGGCCCAA